UUGGUGGUUGCGGGAAAUCAGGACGGUACUUUUAAAAAAUUUAAAUGGUUAAAGCCAGGCAACCCCUGGAAAACUUAACCAGGAAAAAAGGAAUAAGAACUUUAAACCUAUUUUGUUGGUUUCUAGGAUCGACGUAAUGAUUAAUAGGGAUAGUUGGGGGCAUUAGUAUUCAAUUGUCAGAGGUGAAAUUCUUGGAUUUAUUGAAGACUGACUACUGCGAAAGCAUUUGCCAAGGAUGUUUUCAUUAAUCAAGAACGAAAGUUAGGGGAUCGAAGACGAUCAGAUACCGUCGUAGUCUUAACCAUAAACUAUGCCGACUAGGGAUCGGAUGAUGUUAUUUUUUUAGAGACACUCUCCGCCCUAUA
rnacentral:rRNA from 1 species